UAGGAGCUAUCAGAACUUAGUG
rnacentral:miRNA from 1 species